CUGAGGACACAGUCAGAAAGUCUGGAACCAGAACGUUUCAGGCUGGAGAAACAGCAUUCUCAGACAUAGUGGCAAAUACAAUUCACCUAUUCCCGAAGUGCUUUAAUCUUCAUUCAAAAUUAAAACUUUUCGAGAUAAGAAAAAGUUGUGUGGAUCAUGGCCAAAAGGCAGGACCAGACUGCAGCUCCGACUCAGAUGGACAGAGCAGCGUGUGGAGGCUCGCAUCAAAAUUUUAGCUCCAGGUCUACUGCAAGAACAAGCCAGGAAUCCCAAGAGGACCCACAGACCCUUGGAAGGAAGCGGACUGCUCCUGCAGGACCUGGGAGACACCCCAAAUACUGUGAGUGCCCCAAUUGUGGAAGCAGGAAAGGGAGAUCCUCCCCUCCCAAACACACACCCCCACUGGGGAAACUGAAGGUCUGUUUGCGGGAGAAGUUUCUGACCUUACCUGGAGCUGAGUCAAUCUACAGAGCCAAGUGUAAUACAGGGGUAGAAGAAGCAGCAGGAAAGGCCCUGGGAGCUCGCUGGCUCCCCAAGCAGGCCAUUCCUGCCUGGCACCAUGGGGAUCCUUCAGGAGAGUGGCCAGAGGAGCCCAGGGAAAAACGCCACAGGGAGAAGGAAAUCUCCAGCUGAACUUUGUAACAAUUUGAACCAGGCGAGAAGCCACCUGGCCGGAACUUGAGGGAGAGUGUGAAUCUGGUGUGCAGACUCCAUAGGCAAAGGAAGAACCAAAGCCCUGGUCUUUUGCAGCUGGGAGGCAGGUAGCUUGGGGCAAGUUCUCAAGCGUGGUUCACCCACCACCUGGAAACAGACUCAGGGCUCUUAGGGGGAGUACGGUGGGAGUGAGACUGGCACAUUGGAUUGCGUGGGAGUUGGGUGAGGCCUGUGACUGCUGGUUUUCCCCCACUUCCCUGACAACCUGCAUGACUCAGCAGAGGCUGCCAUAAUCCUCCUGGAUACACAACUCCAUUGACCUGGGAACCUCACCACCAUCCCCCACAGCAGCUGCAGCAAGACCC
rnacentral:lncRNA from 1 species